GAGAUUCCCCCAGUAGCGGCGAGCGAACGGGGAGGAGCCCAGAACCAUCAUCAGCUUGUGCAUCAGUGGAAGCGUCUGGAAAGUCGCAGGGUACAGGGUGAUACUCCCGUACACAAAGGUGCACAGGUUGUGAGUUCGAUGAGUAAGGCGGGACACGUGGUAUCCUGUCUGAAUAUGGGGGGACCAUCCUCCAAGGCUAAAUACUCCUGACUGACCGAUAGUGAACCAGUACCGUGAGGGAAAGGCGAAAAGA
rnacentral:rRNA from 1 species